rnacentral:misc_RNA from 1 species
UCUCCGUAGGUGAACCUGCGGAAGGAUCAUUAUUGUAUAACCGAGGUGCGCGGCCUGACGCUGACCCGACAGGUCGUGCACGCCCUAGUGCCCUCACACACAUCCAUCUCACCCCUGUGUGCACGACAGCGUGGCUCCCCCUUUGGGUUGUUCGGCGGGCGGCUUACGUUUUCACACAAGCGUUGUAUGAAGUGUAGGAUGUAUUUUUUGUUUUUGCGAUCACGCAAUCAAUACAACUUUCAACAACGGAUCUCUUGGUUCUC